UGAUGAUGCACUCAGUCGCUGCCUUGUAUAUUUUCCUGCCAUAUCUGGGCACAUGGUUACAUCUAUACAAAAUGUGAACUUGCGCAAGAUCUUCUAGACGAAAAUGUUCCUAAAUCGGAGUUGCACCGAUGGGUGUGUAUGGCCUGGUAUGAAUCAAGCUUCAACACGGCUGCUGUUAAUCAGAAUUCGCCGAACUCGGUGGACCAUGGCCUAUUUUAGUUUAACAGUUAUUAGAAUUGCGAUCCCAAAAAUGGUAAACCUGCAAAGAAUGGCUGUGGGCAUCCCUGCUCAGACUAUAAAAACACUGAUUUGACUGAUGACGUGGCUUGCAUAAAAAACUCAAGAGAGAAUAAAAA